rnacentral:lncRNA from 1 species
CAGGCCCACAGCAGGCCAGCCACAGAGAACAUGCACUGAGCACCGACAGUGGACCAGGGCUGUCUAAGAUGAGUGACUCAUAUGUGAUUAGUGUAGAUCAUUACUUGGCCAUGGGGACUACAGGGCUCACUCUCUAUUGGGGCAGAGAUGCAUCUGGGAAGAUGAAGUUGUGUUGGCAUUUAGUGGAGCACUGAGGAACAUGAGGGAAAUAACAGACAAGAAUGACAGCCCUUUGCCUUCCUCCUAGAGGUUCUUCCUGGGCCCCUCAAAGGCACAGUUAUGACCCGCUGGCUGCAGAAAGCCCUGGCUAUCCCACAGGAUCACAAGGGAUGGAAGAAAGGAAGGAAUGUGGCCUUCUCUGCUAAGCUGUGAGCCCAGGUUCUUCCCUAUCCCCUCUUACUCUGCAGUCAGAACGUCAGAAAACCAAUGGAAUCGCCAUGUCAGGUUCAAGGUGAGCAGAAGAGAAGCAAAACGAAGCUUGGUGCCCUCCAUCCACCCUCACGGCACUGAUGGAGUCGUCCUCCUGCUUUCUGGUUUGUCUGUGUGCUCGCCUUGCUCGCUUUGGUCGUCCUUUCUCCACAGACACCUUCUCCCAGGGGUGGUUGUCUCCCUUUUCAAUCUGACCCACUUGAGAGGAUGGGAACUGCAGUCCUCUGAAUGACCGGAAAAGCAGCUCCGUUGGCCUGUAUGUUUUGUAAGAUUUGCUGACACAUCGGCUCAGUGGAUUCUGGUCUGGUCCAGCUCUCUCUACACCUAUGGGGUCCUUGCUCUGUGAAGAUGGCCUGAAUAGUCCUUUGAUGGAUGGUAAUGAGGAGCAAAGGAGUCCUCCUGCCUCCACCUACCAAGUGCUGGGAUUACGAUGUAAUCCGUUUUCAACUUGUGGAUCUUGACCCCUUUGGGGCUCCAACAACCCUUUCACAGGGAUCACAUAGCAGAUAUCCGGCAUAUUAGAUAUUUACAUUACAAUUCAUAACAUUAAUAAAAUUAAAGUUAUGAAGUAGCAAUGAAAACAAUUGUAUGGUUGGGAGUCACCACACCAUGAGGAACUAAAUUAAAGGGUCACAGCAUUAGGGAGGUUGGAAACCGGUGGGUUACAAGCAUAAACCACCUGGC